AUACUUACCUGGACGGGGUCGAUGGGUGAUCGAGAAGACACAUGGCCUAGAUCAAUUGUCCAUAUUGCACUUGGUAGAUGCGUUGCUCAAAUAGGAGAGUGGAUGUCAUAAUUUGUAAUAGAGGGGCCCUACCAACUACAAAUUACGGCCCCUA
rnacentral:snRNA from 15 species